rnacentral:rRNA from 1 species
AUUGAACGCUGGCGGCAGGCCUGACACAUGCAAGUCGAGCGGAUGAAGGGAGCUUGCUCCUGGAUUCAGCGGCGGACGGGUGAGUAAUGCCUAGGAAUCUGCCUGGUAGUGGGGGAUAACGUCCGGAAACGGGCGCUAAUACCGCAUACGUCCUGAGGGAGAAAGUGGGGGAUCUUCGGACCUCACGCUAUCAGAUGAGCCUAGGUCGGAUUAGCUAGUUGGUGGGGUAAAGGCCUACCAAGGCGACGAUCCGUAACUGGUCUGAGAGGAUGAUCAGGCACACUGGAACUGAGACACGGUCCAGACUCCUACGCUGGGCCGCAGUGGGGAAUACUGGACGAUGGGCCAAUGCCUGAUCCAGCCAUGCCGCGUGUGUGAAGAAGGUCUUCGGAUUGUAAAGCACUUUAAGUUGGGGGGAAGGGCAGUAAGUUAACACCUUGCGGUUUUGACGUUACCAACAGAAUAAGCACCGGCUAACUUCGUG